CAGGUAGAGGCCUUGUCCACCUAAUUUUAAUACGUUCAAAUGAAAGAGAGAAACACAGUGGAAGAUUAAGAGUCACGCUUGACACUUCCAAGAAAAGCAGUUCCUUGUUGAUCACGGCUUCCCGGGCAGCAGACACUGCUUCUUACUUCUGUGGUGGAACACCGGUAACCAGUUCUAUUUUGGGACAGGGACAAGUUUGACGGUCAUUCCAAGUAAGUCAAAGAAAAUUUUCCAUC
rnacentral:lncRNA from 1 species